UACGUAGGGUGCAAGCGUUAAUCGGAAUUACUGGGCGUAAAGCGUGCGCAGGCGGUUGUGUAAGACAGAGGUGAAAUCCCCGGGCUUAACCUGGGAACUGCCUUUGUGACUGCAAGGCUUGAGUGCGGCAGAGGGGGAUGGAAUUCCGCGUGUAGCAGUGAAAUGCGUAGAUAUGCGGAGGAACACCGAUGGCGAAGGCAAUCCCCUGGGCCUGCACUGACGCUCAUGCACGAAAGCGUGGGGAGCAAACAGG
rnacentral:rRNA from 1 species